UACGGGGGGGGUAAGCGUUGUUCGGAAUUACUGGGCGUAAAGGGCUCGUAGGCGGCCAACUAAGUCAGACGUGAAAUCCCUCAGCUUAACUGGGGAACUGCGUCUGAUACUGGAUGGCUUGGAUUUGGGAGAGGGAUGCGGAAUUCCAGGUGUAGCGGUGAAAUGCGCAGAUAUCAGGAGGAACACCGGUGGCGAAGGCGGGUCUCUGGGCCGUAACUGACGCUGAGGAGCGAAAGCGUGGGGAGCGAACAGG
rnacentral:rRNA from 1 species